rnacentral:rRNA from 1 species
CUUCGGCCCGAGUUGUAAUUUGCAGAGGAUGUUUAUGGUGCGGUACCUUCCGAGUUCCCUGGAACGGGACGCCACAGAGGGUGAGAGCCCCGUCUGGUUGGAUACCAAACCUGUGUUAAACUCCUUCAACGAGUCGAGUAGUUUGGGAAUGCUGCUCUAAAUGGGAGGUAAAUCUCUUCUAAAGCUAAAUAUUGGCCAGAGACCGAUAGCGCACAAGUAGAGUGAUCGAAAGAUGAAAAGCACCUUGAAAAGGGGGUUAAACAGUACGUGAAAUUGUUGAAAGGGAAGCGUUUAUGACCAGACUUGUGUCGUGUGGCUCAUCCGAGGUUCUCCCCGGUGCACUCCACACGGCUCAGGCCAACAUCGGUUUUCGCUGGGGGACAAGAACAGUAGGAACGUAGCUCCCCUCGGGGAGUGUUAUAGCCUAUUGUACGAUACCCUGGCGGGGACCGAGGACCGCGCUUCGGCUAGGAUGUUGGCGUAAUGGUCAUUAGCGACCCGUCUUGAAACACGGACCAAGGAGUCGUCCAUUAGAGCGAGCGUUUGGGUGUAAAACCCGCACGCGUAAUGAAAGUGAAAUUAGGUGAGAGCUUCGGCGCAUCAUCGACCGAUCCUGAAGUUUACGGAUGGAUUUGAGUAAGAGUUUUAACGGACGGACCCGAAAGACAGUGAACUAUGCUUGAAUAGGGUGAAGCCAGAGGAAACUCUGGUGGAGGCUCGCAGCGGUUCUGACGUGCAAAUCGAUCGUCAAAUUUGAGCAUGGGGGCGAAAGACUAAUCGAACUGUCUAGUAGCUGGUUACCGCCGAAGUUUCCCUCAGGAUAGCAGUGUUGACCUUCAGUUUUAUGAGGUAAAGCGAAUGAUUAGGGACUCGGGGGCGCUUAUUAGCCUUCAUCCAUUCUCAAACUUUAAAUAUGUAAGAAGCCCUUGUUACUUAAUUGAACGUGGGCAUUCGAAUGUACCAACACUAGUGGGCCAUUUUUGGUAAGCAGAACUGGCGAUGCGGGAUGAACCGAACGGGGGGUUAAGGCGCCAGAAUGUACGCUCAUCAGACACCACAAAAGGCGUUAGUACAUCUUGACAGCAGGACGGUGGCCAUGGAAGUCGGAAUCCGCUAAGGACUGUGUAACAACUCACCUGCCGAAUGUACUAGCCCUGAAAAUGGAUGGCGCUCAAGCGUACUGCCCAUACCCCCCCUUCAGGGUAGAAACGAUGCC